GGUGCACCAACUCAUACAUAUAAUCGAAUUUGCGCUUGGAGCUGUGUCUAAUACAGCUUCGUAUCUACGUUUUCGGGCCCUCAGUUUCAGGAUCGGGCCCCUUUUCUGUCAUUUCAAGGGUUGGUUGCUUGGAAAUUCUAGUCAGGGUAGUUAAUUGACAAAAACUGAUACGGUUUUAUUGUCGUCCACGCAUUAGUUGCAGCUACUUGUUCUACAAGAUUUUCAUACCAUUUUAUUUUAGAUAAAUAGUGACUGGUGUAAAAAUAGAAAAA
rnacentral:sRNA from 1 species